rnacentral:rRNA from 1 species
UURWAAGGCCCCGGCCGCGCGGUUAGACUUAAGGGCUAAGCCUUUAUAGGUAAAAGGGCGUAAAGGGUGUGUAGGCCGACAAUUCCCCCCCAAGGUGGUAAAUGGAAUUUUUCUGUAACGGUAGAAUGUGUGGAUAGAAAAUAGAACCCCAAAGGCAAAAGCAAUUUACCUCGGGGAUGGGGGAAACCAGAGAUUCCCAUCGGGACCUAUCACUCCCCCCGAGCACAGGCUGAAACACGAGGGUGUGGGGAACAAACAGGAUUAGAGACCCUGGUAGUCCACACUGUAAACGAUGAAGAAAAUGUUAAUGCAACCCCGAAAGGUAGUAAUCUUCCGCCUGAGUAGUACGAUCGCAAGAUUAAAAUUCAAAAAAUUUGGCUGUUCACUGUUUCGAUUAGAGGAGCGUGUAGUUUAAUUCGAUAAACCGCGAGAUACCUUACCCAAACUUGAAUCACCCAUCCGAGAUUGAAUGGUCUCGGGGGGGUAGACCGGUAUUGCAUGGCCGUCGUCAGUUCGUGUAUGAAACCUUUAACGGACCUAACCCGAGGGGUUAGCCGCGGAUGAAGUCAGGUCUUAUGAUCCCUAUGUUUGGGGAUAAUAUGCGCUACAUUUUCUUAUACAAUGGGAAACCUGAAAGGUGAAACCCCAAAGUAGGAGUUCGGUAGGUCAUUGUAAGAUGACCGAAAGUUGAAUUUAAUAGUAAUCGGAAAGUAGAGCGUUCCGGUGAAAUGGUCUAAGUGUUAGCACAAAUCCGCCCGU